rnacentral:snoRNA from 1 species
CGCAGCCCUGUCAAAUUCGGUCCCCGGCCUCUCGGUGGCGGGGACCGGCCAGCCGGCUGCCACAGCGACUUCCGUAGUCCAUGGGCCCCGCGUCCCUUCCCCGUGGGACGCCGGGGAUAAAAUCGUGCCACGGACACGU